rnacentral:misc_RNA from 1 species
GCUCCUACCGAUUGAGUGAUCCGGUGAAUUAUUCGGACUGACGCAGUGCUCAGCUUCUGGACGUUGCGUUGGAAAGUUUCAUGAACCUUAUCACUUAGAGGAAGGAGAAGUCGUAACAAGGUUUCCGUAGGUGAACCUGCAGAAGGAUCAUUCCGUUUAACGCCAAGAAAGUUAUUUAUAUUGGAAAAAUUAAUAAUUUUUAUUUAAUUUUUUAAUUAAUUAAAUAAUUUAAAAUAAUUAUUUUGAAUUAACAAAGAAAUUUAAUAAUUAUUAAUUUGAAUAUAUAUUUGAUAAUUAGGGUGAAGUCGUAACAUGGUAGUGGUAGGUGAACCUGCAGAAGGAUCA